GGCGGGCCUCCCCGCAUUGCAAUGUCGUGAACCUGGUCAGGGCGGGAACGCAGCAGCCACAGCGAAGCUAGCAAGUGCCGGGGUUCUGGCUCGCCACC
rnacentral:SRP_RNA from 1 species